UGGUGGCGGUGAGGGGGAGGCGGGGUGGAGGAGCAGGGUGGGCUCGGGAGGAGAAGAAGGGUUUUUUUUUCCUGUCCGGUCCGGAUGGAGAGAGAGAGAGUCGGGUUUUUCCGGUUCGAAACGGUCCUGGCCGGUUUUUCGUGUAAGAGACUGACUGGUGGGUCAUAUGUGUCAGAAAGAGCAUCUAUACGUAGAAAUAUAUAAUCUGCAAAAUACGGCAUAUGUAUCUUGGUACGUAUUUGUAAAAAAAUUAAAAGAUGGCAUCAACUUGUGAAUACGGCCUGAAUUGUGGUAGUCUUUUGCAAUUAACUCUAUAACUCCUAAUGGGGCAUGCUGGCUCAAGAGAGUAUGUGAUGUACACUUGAUAUGGAUGGCCGUUGGAACACAGAGCUCCUUAACUGCACUUUUGGCCGGCCGACGUGGAUAUCAGUCGAUAUAUCUGUACGUCCCCAAGUCAGGAGGAAGAUUUCAUUGCGUGGUUCCCGGAAAAACAUGCUUGCAACCGAACGCGAACCGGGUGUGGUGGGACCUGAUUUGGCAAGCCUUUAUCCUGCCUAAAAUGCGUUCAUUUGCUUGGAGGGUCACGGUCGACGCCCUUCCAACAAAUUGCAGCAAAGCAAGGAGGCAUCUGAAUGUGCCAGUCCAGUGUCCAUUGUGUGGUCACAGGAAGAGGAUUCAUUCCAUGCCCUAAUCCCGUGUCCGCAUGCAAGGAGGUUGUGGGAAGAAAUGAAAAUUGAAUGGCAACUACCAUAGAAGGACAAGUUGAUUCAUACUGGUUCAGAGUGGCUUUUUGGCAUCUUAGCUUAGCUACCGGCCAUGAUGAGGGCGAUGGUCAUUAUGCUCAUGUGGAGGAUCUGGAUCCUUCGCAAUGACAUGGUCCAUGGAAAAGAGACUCCGCCUCCACAUAUAUCUCGAUCGUAUUUGUGCAGAUAUUUGAGUUCAUAUGAUCAUUAAGGGCAAGUGCCCAGUUAUGGAGUUACCUAUAAGGCAAGCUCAGACCCCAGAGACCAAUAAGCACUGGCCCAAGCCGCCCGCUGGAUGGACUGCGCUGUCGGUGGAUGGCUCGUAUGUGCAAGACAUUCGGGAGGCAAGUACUAGUAUGGUGCUCCGUAACACAGAUGGCUGAGUUAUUCUCUCAUCUUACCAACAUUUGUUUCACUGUAAAAAUGCUUUGCAAGUACAUAUCAAUGCCAUCCUUGAUGGACUAUCUAUGAGUUUGCAACGAACCAAUCUACCGAUAGUAAUCCAAUCCGAUAGUUCAAUGGUCAUUGCUGCAUUAACUAAUGAUUCACUUGACAGAUCUGUCUAUGGUCAUUUGAUGACAGAAAUCAAGAAGCUUCUACAGCUUCGUGGGUUUGUUCCGCUGAAAAUAGAUUGACAUCAAAAUAGUUUUGCUCAUAGUCUAGCUAAAGUUGGAAGAACUGGAGAUUGCAGCGCUUGUUGGUUCCAUCGUGUUCCAGACAGUGUCUUAGAUCUUGAAUUAGCUGAGUGUAACGCUAUUUCUGAGGAAUAAAUACCCACUUUCUCCACAAAAAUAAAACUAGUGAUCCAUCCAUUGACAAAAAUAGAGCAACUUCCAAUAGUUCACAUAUCCCUCAAACAAAAUACCAUUUACAAAAA